CUGAUUCAGUGGGAGCAUUUUCACGUCUUCUCUUCAGUGCCCACAGCCUGGCAAAUGUUGUGACAUCAUUAAGCCGAACUGCUGAUUUUAGAUGGGACUGGAACAAGAACGGGCAGGGUAAAGUCUACUGUAUACUUACUAUCAAAGGAUGCACAUUGGCACAGAUGACAUAGUUCACAAUAUAAGGGGAAGUAACAUACUGAAGCAAGCAAAACAAGGGAAGAAAAGAUCCAAUUGUGACCACGGCUUGGAUUCACGUGGAGGAGAGUGAAGAGCCCUGCAACAAGUGGAGGAUGGACAAUUUCCAAGACAAGGGACAGUCUCUCGAAGAUGAUAUUUAGUGUGCACAAGAUUUCUAAGAUCAAUAGCAACAUCAAGUUAUAUUUUAAUUUCACCUUUGAGUUAUGCUAUUAUGACAACUGCAAACAAGAUGACAAGUGUGAAAUGCAGCUGCUCAAUCCAGUGUGUCAGGGCCUAUCUACACUUAAAAUGCUACAGCAAUACAGUUAUGCUGCUUCAGCUAUGCUACAGUAGUGCCUACACCGAUGGAAGGGAUUCUCUU